rnacentral:rRNA from 1 species
GCUUACGGCCACACCGCCUGGUUCACGCCCGAUCUCGUUUGAUCUCGGAAGCUAAGAUAGGUUAGGGCCUGGUUAGUACUUGGAUGGGAGACCUGCCUGGGAAUACCAGGUGCUGUAGCUU